AGGGAACUGAUGAGGAUUGGUGGCUCUUUACGAAACCUAGGUAUUAUCUCUCUGCAUGUUAAUUUGUAAACACUCUACCAGUCGUGGAGUUAAAGAUAGGGUCGGAAUAGGAGGCUAUUGUUUGUAGAAAUCUUUACGAAAUACUUAGUUAUUGAAUUUGCAAUUACAGGUCGCCACAAAAAGAUCAAUCGACACGUAAUUUUGCGUUGAUGUUAAGGUCAGACUGUGGAGAUAUUCGUGAAACAUUAAGUGGAUGAAAUGGACCAUAAACUGACAUUUUUUACAAAUGUUAGAGUCACUGUACAGCUGUCAAUUAUAGACCAAUCGACUGGUAAUCUUGCAUGGUUGUUAACGACAGGACAGAAGUUUGAUAUAUUUGGAGUGACAUUGGAUACUAUUUUGAGGGUGCAAUGGAUCAUAAUCAAAACCAAAAUUUCUAUUUAACCGUGAAUAUUUUGAAUGCUGAAUGUUACUUCCAGGUGUAAUUACAUAGAUACGGAAAGGACCGCUCCGUCGUUACAUUAAUACUGAUUUUGUUGAGGUAUAUAGCAAAAUAUCGGAGAAUUAUCGAAAUUUUCAAAUAUAAUUUGAGUCCCUAGUAGCACAUCAGAGAGCAUAACUACAGGCCAAUUGUGACAUCAUUUCGUAUGGUUACGUGACUCCGCUCAAAAUCCAAGAUAACAACUUUGUUUCUCAAUAUGACAUUGUUUCAAUAAUGAUAUUGACAAAAAAACAUACAUAUUGACUGGUUGUUACUUAUGAUUUGAAAAGAUUUUGAAUGUAAAAUCUAUGAUCUUUCCACUGAAAUCAAUUUCGGUGAUGUAAUUUUGGGGGGAAAUAACAGUUCCAUAUUUAUAGGGUGUCCCAACUGGAAUGCAAAAAUAAAAAUGGAAAUUGGUAUCGUGAAAUUAUAAUCAGUUUUUUUCGUGUCUAGAAUUUAAGAAAUGAAUGUGGAGGGUAUGUCGUUGCACCAAGAGGGCAUCACAUUUGAUACAGCCAGGGAGACAAUUCAAUUGUUGCAUCAGUGGUCGUGUUAUUUCGUAUUUAGGAGACCAACAGAUAAUUGGACGCUGCUGAAAUUGGACGCUAUGUAAAACGGACAUUGAAAAUUUCAUUAAAAGAUCAAGUGUGUGCCAUCAAAGUCGCGGCGGCCAUCUGCACGAUGCUCGUUCUAUACAUAACCUCAUUGUCUGCCUACUUAACUGUGUAAUUAAAUUUAAAAAUUGCAUUCUAGUUGGGAUUAUUCGAAAGGAAUGUAACAACCGUAUUCCACGAAAAUAGCUAUGUUUGUCGUUAAGCGCCGUUGCCGGUAUGCUGGCGUAUAGCGCGGCUAUGACUCGUCGGAUCGGAGGUUGGUUCUUGCCACCUUUUAGACUUUUUCGGUUGAACAAAAAUGUUGCCCCUCGUUGGGCGCCAUUUAAGUGGUGUUGCCGGUAUGCUGGCGUAUAGCGCGGCUAUGGCUCGUCGGAUCGGGGGUUGGUUCUUGCCAAUUUUCAGACUUUUUCGGCUGAACAAAAAAAAAAAAAUCAUAUCGGACUCGCAAAAUCAAAUUAAAUUGGGUUAAAGGAACCAGAAACAUGUGAAAGAAAGAAAACAAAAGGACAUUCACCAAAUAUUACACUAAAUCCCAAACUUACUUUAACUAUCACCACAGAAACAGUGCCAAAUUUAAUACAAAAUCUAAUAUUUUUCCUUUCCCCUUUUCAUAUUUUAGGUUGCGAUGGCGGACGAUAAAAAGUAGGGAACAAUAAAGGCAGCUAAUAUUUGCGGUUCUUCCCAACAAGAAAGGACAAACAAAGGAGGGAAAUCACAUAAAAUCGAUGAACUAAACGAACUAAAAGCCUGGUUACCUAACCUUGAAGAGAGCUCUGUUCAACGUCGUGGUGCUGCAUAUUAAACAAAAAGGAAAAUCGCGGAAUUUAACUAUUUAGCUUCGUCGUCCGUCUGUCUGUUCGGAGUUUAUAGUAACAAAUGUCGAUUGGGGAUACCAAGCCACGCUGGUUUAACGAUGGCAUAAAAACUGCGCCUGGAUUGCAUGGGCGAUGGUGUGGCUCGUAUGCUCGAAUUCUUCUUUUGGAUCUUUAUGUAUAAGAGUUAUUUCUUUGCUUUAGAUAUUAAUUUUAUUGUUUUGUUUUCAAAUUUUGUUAAAUUGUUUCCAAAUUUAAUUUCAUUAAAUUUAAUUUCAAAAAAAGUUCAA